rnacentral:antisense_RNA from 1 species
UCCGGAUUGGAAGCCCCAAGGAUUCUGAGAGCCCCGCUAAUCUGGGGAUGACUCCUAGGAGUAGAAGACGGUCCAUCUUAGUUGUCACGAGUAUCUCACUUCUUGGAAUCCGGCGGCGUUCACGUGUGUGCUCCAGAGAAGGGCGCCAGAGGGUAUUCCCUGAAAGUGAAAGGUCGGCGAAAGAGGAGUAAAGACGGCGAGACGCGUCCACGCAGGGGGAGUCUGUGCGGUUUGGAGGAACGCGCCAAUGUCUGCACUCAUGAGGAGCCCCCAAGGGCGGUUUUAAGAGGGUGAAGCAGGACCGGGCGCAGUGACUUACGCCUGUAAUGUAAGUGCUUUGGAAGGCCUAGGCAGGAGGAUCUCGAGCCCAGGAGUUCGAGAUUAGCCUGAGACCUCAUCGCUACCAAAAUAAAUAAAGUAGGCAUCCAUUUGUGUAAAACAAACCAUAUAUACACACAUAUAUACAUAUAUAAACAUUUGUAUAUAUAGGUAUAGGCAUAGUUAUCUAUACCUUGUAAACCAAAAAUAAAAUUGUAAGCCUCCCCAACCAACUGA